rnacentral:rRNA from 1 species
UACAGAGGUCUCAAGCGUUGUUCGGAAUCACUGGGCUUAAAGGGCGCGUAGGCGGGCCAGCCAGUCUGUGGUGAAAGCCUCCAGCUUAACUGGAGAAGUGCCGUGGAUACUGCUGGCCUCGAGGAGGAUAGGGGCAUCUGGAACGGUCGGUGGAGCGGUGAAAUGCGUUGAUAUCGACCGGAACUCCGGUGGCGAAGGCGAGGUGCUGGGUCCUUUCUGACGCUGAUGCGCGAAAGCCAGGGGAGCAAAGCGGGG